GACGAACGCUGGCGGCGUGCUUAACACAUGCAAGUAGAACGAAGUGGCGGAUGGGCGAGUAACACGUGAGGAACCUGCCUUUCACAGGGGAAUAACACUGGGAAACCAGUGCUAAUACCGCAUAGUGAAAGAUGGCCUCGCGCCUGAUUAGCUAGUAGGAGAGGUAACGGCUAACCGAGGGGAGGAUCAGUAGCCGGGCUGAGGGUUGAAGGGCCGCAUUGGGACGUAGGCACGGACCGGACUCCUACGGGAGUGAGCAGUUGGGAUAAUUGGGCAAUGGCGGAAGCCUGGCCCAGCAACGCCGCGUGAAGGAAGACGGUCUUCGGAUUGAAAACUUCUUUGGACAGGGACGCGGUACCUGUAGAAUAAGCCACGGCUAACUACGUGCAAGCGGCCGCGGUAAUA
rnacentral:rRNA from 1 species